CUGGUGGGAGUAUUUUAUUGAUAGAACCAUCGCCAUCACUUAUGCAGACUUCUCUUGGAGAACGAUGGGAGAGGUAGAUGAUCAUACCAGUAUUACUACUCAUGAUAACAACAAAGAAGCGAAAAGUCUGGAUUCUCCUGAGCUCGAAUUCUCAAAAGACGAGGUGGUACUUAUUACUAGGAUGUUCAGAUUAGUCGGAGAAAGGUUAUCUCUAAUUGCUGGGAGGAUUCCUAGAAGAACUGCAGAAGAGAUUGAGAAGUACUGGACUUCAAGACACACAUGAUGAUGAUGAUCUUCAACCUCGAGCGGAAGACGAUGACUAGGAUCCAAACGUACGCUAAGACCUACAAUUAGUUUAUACGGUUUGAUUUAAAUCUUGUUAAUUAGUUGUUGCAGUAUGCAUGCGCAUUAUAAGAAAAAUAGCUUUUUGCAUGAUUUAAAAUCGUCGCAAAAAUCAUACAAAAUAUGGUGAUUAUUUUCUAGCGUCAUUGAAAAAUUGAUGCAAGAUGGUCGGUAAUAUUGAGUUCCAAAAAGUUUUUUGCGUCAAAAUAAAAUAUUAACGCAAAAAUAAUUAUUUGGUGACGAUAUUUGUUGACGCUAAAGGACAAUAACUUUGAUGCAAAAGAUAAUUCAACAAUAGGAAAAUGCCCUAUGAGCGACCAGAGUCCAGUGUCACAUAAACAAAAUAGGACUGCAAAUAACUUCAUUUUCGUCACAUAUAUAUCGUCACAAAAUUACUGGCUUGUUGUAAAUGGACUAUUUUUUUGCUUCUAUAUAUAUUGUUGCAAGAAAU